AUACUUACCUACUCGGGGCUUUCCAAGAUCAAGAGCAUGGAAGCCUACGGGGCCUCCUGCAUUGCACAACGUGGCGAGGUGCUCGUAUGUAGCCGCUUCGGCGGUGACUCCAGGGGUCAAUUUUUGAUUUCUUCUCUCGAUCCGCGUGCGGAUCGUUGAC
rnacentral:snRNA from 12 species